rnacentral:miRNA from 1 species
ACGUUAUUUGGUGUAGAAAUUUCAAGACUUUAGCUAAAAGGGAAAUAUUGAAAUAUGUAUUUUUUAAAUAUUUUUCUUUUUGCAGAAGUCUUGAAAUUUCCACACCGAAUAGCAA